rnacentral:rRNA from 1 species
UGGGGAAUUUUCCGCAAUGGGCGAAAGCCUGACGGAGCAACGCCGCGUGAGGGAGGAAGGUUCUUGGAUUGUAAACCUCUUUUAUUAGGGAAGAAAAAAAUGACGGUACCUAAUGAAUAAGCAUCGGCUAACUCCGUGCCAGCAGCCGCGGUAAUACGGAGGAUGCAAGCGUUAUCCGGAAUUAUUGGGCGUAAAGCGUCCGCAGGUGGUUUUUCAAGUCUGCUGUUAAAGAGUGCAGCUUAACUGCAUCAAAGCAGUGGAAACUGGGAGACUAGAGUUCGGUAGGGGUAGCGGGAAUUCCCAGUGUAGCGGUGAAAUGCGUAGAGAUUGGGAAGAACAUCGGUGGCGAAAGCGCGCUACUGGGCCGAAACUGACACUCAGGGACGAAAGCUAGGGGAGC